AAGUCGUAACAAGGUUUCCGUAGGUGAACCUGCGGAAGGAUCAUUAACGAGUCUUUGAAGUGGGUUUGAUGCUGGCCGUCUCAGGCAUGUGCUCGCCCCGCUCCAAUCCACUCAACCCCUGUGCACUUCAUGUUCGAAGGUGUGACUUCCCCCUGCGAGGGGGAGCAGCUCGGGAGACCGAGCCGGAGUCGCUCUUUGGGCACACACAAACUCUUAUUGUAACUGAAUGUAUAACAAGGCCUACGGGCCCUAAACUAAACAAUACAACUUUCAACAACGGAUCUCUUGGCUCUC
rnacentral:misc_RNA from 1 species